GCGUUUUCUUGUUGCCGAUUUAAAAGAAAAGCCUUUGCAUCAUAUAAGCAAUAAAAAUAAGUGCUGGACUAUUAAGUCUAUACUCGCUACCGACAGUUUCAUCUUCAUGUUUAACAUCUGAGUUGCAUUCAAAUUACCAAAUUCAAAAGACCCGCCUUUGGUGAAGACAAAUAAUUUGGUGCUACACAAAUAAAGAGCUUAUAUCAGAGGAUAGACUACUUAAUUGGGAGCCUUUUCAGUGUUUGUGAUUCUAAAUAAUAGAUCCACCACUCUGCUGAUUCUAUAGUGAACAAAUGUUGGAAUUACAUGCUUUUGCAGAAUCAUAAAUAAGCAGUGAUAUCAAUGAGUUCCGGAUUAUUCUUUAAGAAGAAUGGGUUUCUGUGAUUCUGUUCUUAUAAAAUUCAGUGAAUAGUUUGGAUAUAAUGUUUUACAUUUAAAUCGUCAUCUUAUUAAGGAAGAUCAUUUGUUGGGAUUAUAUUAAUAUGACGUCAUGGUUCAUGUGACAUAUGUGUAUAAUAUUUUUCUUAAUUAUUGGUAACUGAAAUUAUUUAUCAAAUAUUAAAGAGAACUUUAUUGGAAAUAUCAAAGUGUUUAGUUAAAUUGUAUAAGAAGUAGAAUUUUCCUAUGAGUUGUUCAAUUUAACAGAUCAUACUAGGAUCAUGAUUUUGAUACGAGUUGUUAGCUACAACAGAUCAUACCAGGAUCAUGGUUUUAAUGCGAGUUGUUAGCUACAACAGAUUAUACCAGGAUCAUGGUUUUAAUACGAGUUGUUAGCUACAACAGAUCAUACCAGGAUCAUAGUUUUAAUACGAGUUGUGAGCUACAACAGAUCAUACCAGAAUCAUGGUUUUAAUACGAGUUGUUAGCUACACCAGAUCAUUCCGGGAUCAUGGUUUUAAUACGAGUUGUUAGCUACAACAGAUCAAUUUGAUGCUUAAAUUAAGUUUUCAAUUCAAAUCCAUGUAAAGCUUUGCUAUGUCUCUUCUACACAUUUACAAAGAAAAAAUAAAUCAUGCACUUGCUGGUAGAAACUAGAAAUUAAAAAAAGGUCAAUAAUAGAAUUAAUGAAUUAUACUCACCGAGUAUAGACUUAAUAGUCCAGCACUUAUUUUUAUUGCUUAUAUGAUGCAAAGGCUUUUCUUUUAAAUCGGCAACAAGAAAACGCGCACAUCUUGUUUAUCAGAAUUCAAAUUCUGACCUAGAUCGACUGCAAACCACUGUACUACAGCGUGCUGCCCAGCAGGAGAAUUGCAUAACAAGGUUACUAUGACUCUGAAGAUCCAAUCCUAAUCUAAUGCCUCAAAGUUAGACUGGGAGUGGAUCACAAAUAUUACA